rnacentral:tRNA from 1 species
CAGGGGGUAUUUUAUUUAAAAUAUUAAUUUUGGGGAUUAAUGAAAUGACUUGUUUGUCUUUCCUCUGA